rnacentral:tRNA from 1 species
GUCACUGUAGCUCAGGGGAUAGAGCGGCACACUGACUAUGUUGCAGGUCGCGAGUUCAAUUCUCGCCAGUGACGC